rnacentral:tRNA from 1 species
GGAGAGGUGCUGGAGCGGUUGAACAGGCCACUCUCGAAAAGUGGUAGAUCCGCAAGGGUCUCGUGAGUUCGAAUCUCACCCUCUCCGCCA